UUUUUGUCAAUAUAACAAAUCAAGGUCUAUUAAGAAAUUUGAUUAAAAUACAUAUGUCAUAGAUAUAAGAAGAUAUGGCAUGAGUAUACUAUGAGACAGCUCUCCAUCCAAGUCACAAUUUGUUAAAAAUAAAUCAUUAUAGGUCAAAGUAUGGCCUUGAACACAGAGCCUUGGCUUACACCAAACAGCAAGCUAUAAAGGUCCUAAAAAAUAACUAGUGUAAAACCAUGAUUAUUAAAUCUCAGGAGUAUAAACUUAUCAUGGGAGCUUAAGAGAUUACUAACAAUUUCAAUAAGAAAUUAAACUUAAAACUUAAAUGUGGAUAAACAUAUAGAGUGGGGUGCGCAUAUUCGCCGGGGACACAAUUUCGCCGUUUUAUAAUUUUGAGUUGUAAAUACUUCAAAAGAUGGCUGAAAUGGAAGAAAUAUGCCGGCAACUAAGAUUUUUAUAACAAAUAUGAUUUUAUUUUAAACUACGACAAAAUUGCGGCACUUAACGCAAAGGACCGAAAAUUGAAUAACGAUUUUCGACCAAUUUUCUGAAUGAAUAACACGAUUUCAAAGAAGUAUUUCUUAGUAAAUCUUUGACUGAUUGCCCUAAAUUUCAGUUCUGUACACCUUUAAAAUGUCUGCUAUUGCCAUCUAUAAUGAAAUUGAUUUGAAAAAUAUUGUUUAAAGCUACAGUUAUUUGGGUUAUAAAUAGAUGUAUAAAAACGGCGAAUAUGUGUCCCCAUUGACACAUCAGGCAAUUUCAAACACCCUUUAAUCUAACUUUUCAGAUGAUUAUUUUCAAACAAACACGUUUUCAAGCUUAAGAAUAUUUUGCAUUUGAAGUUAUCUUCAUGUAGAAAUAUCAGUAUACUUCAAAAACAUAUAGACCUGAACAUAAACUGUGGAAAACAUGGAAAGAUAUGGCGAAAAUGAGCACCCCAC
rnacentral:lncRNA from 1 species